GACGAACGCUGGCGGCGUGCUUAACACAUGCAAGUCGAACGAAGUGGCGAACGGGUGAGUAACGCGUAAUCAACCUGCCCUUCAGCGGUGACCAACAGUUGGAAACGACUGCUAUUACCUCAUACUGAGGGAGGGGAUUGCGUCUGAUUAGCUCGUUGGAGGGGUAACGCCCCACCAAGGCGAUGAUGAGUAGCCGUUCGGAGAGGAUGAAGCGCCACAAUGGGACUGAGACACGGCCCAAAAUCCUACGGGAGGCAGCAGUGGGGAAUUUUCCGCAAUGGAGGUAAGUCUGACGGAGCAACGCCGCGGGAGUGAAGACGGCCUUGGGGUUGUAAAGCUGUGUUAAUCGGGACGAGGAACCGGAAGAGAAAGACACGGCUAACUACGUGCCAGCAGCCGCGGUAAUUC
rnacentral:rRNA from 1 species